UCAAUUUGUAUGUUUCGUCAGGGCCUUCUUCAAGACCCGUUGUACAAUUUUUGGAGACCCUAUCCUCGUGGUAGGGUU
rnacentral:snRNA from 1 species